rnacentral:rRNA from 1 species
CGUGGGGGGGGUGCUAAUACAUGCAAGUAGAACGCUGAAGAGAGGAGCUUGCUCUUCUUGGAUGAGUUGCGAACGGGUGAGUAACGCGUAGGUAACCUGCCUUGUAGCGGGGGAUAACUAUUGGAAACGAUAGCUAAUACCGCAUAACAAUGGAUGACUCAUGUCAUUUAUUUGAAAGGGGCAAUUGCUCCACUACAAGAUGGACCUGCGUUGUAUUAGCUAGUAGGUGAGGUAACGGCUCACCUAGGCGACGAUACAUAGCCGACCUGAGAGGGUGAUCGGCCACACUGGGACUGAGACACGGCCCAGACUCCUACGGGAGGCAGCAGUAGGGAAUCUUCGGCAAUGGGGGCAACCCUGACCGAGCAACGCCGCGUGAGUGAAGAAGGUUUUCGGAUCGUAAAGCUCUGUUGUAAGUCAAGAACGAGUGUGAGAGUGGAAAGUUCACACUGUGACGGUAGCUUACCAGAAAGGGACGGCUAACUACGUGCCAGCAGCCGCGGUAAUACGUAGGUCCCGAGCGUUGUCCGGAUUUAUUGGGCGUAAAGCGAGCGCAGGCGGUUUGAUAAGUCUGAAGUUAAAGGCUGUGGCUCAACCAUAGUUCGCUUUGGAAACUGUCAAACUUGAGUGCAGAAGGGGAGAGUGGAAUUCCAUGUGUAGCGGUGAAAUGCGUAGAUAUAUGGAGGAACACCGGUGGCGAAAGCGGCUCUCUGGUCUGUAACUGACGCUGAGGCUCGAAAGCGUGGGGAGCGAACAGGAUUAGAUACCCUGGUAGUCCACGCCGUAAACGAUGAGUGCUAGGUGUUGGAUCCUUUCCGGGAUUCAGUGCCGCAGCUAACGCAUUAAGCACUCCGCCUGGGGAGUACGACCGCAAGUGUUGAAACUCAAAGGAAUUGACGGGGGCCCGCACAAGCGGUGGAGCAUGUGGUUUAAUUCGAAGCAACGCGAAGAACCUUACCAGGUCUGACAUCCCGAUGCUAUUUCUAGAGAUAGAAAGUUACUUCGGUACAUCGGUGACAGUGUUG